GUCAUAUGCUUGUCUCAAAGAUUAAGCCAUGCAUGUCUCAGUACAAGCCAAAUUAAGGUGAAACCGCGAAAGGCUCAUUAAAUCAGUUAUGGUUCCUUAGAUCGUACCCACAAUUACUUGGAUAACUGUGGUAAUUCUAGAGCUAAUACAUGCAAACAGAGCUCCGACCGGAGACGGAAGGAGUGCUUUUAUUAGAUCAAAACCAAUCGGUGGCGAGUUCGCUCGUUAUCGUACAACUUGGUGACUCUGAAUAACUUUACGCUGAUCGCACGGUCUUCGCACCGGCGACGCAUCUUUCAAAUGUCUGCCUUAUCAACUGUCGAUGGUAGGUUCUGCGCCUACCAUGGUUGUAACGGGUAACGGGGAAUCAGGGUUCGAUUCCGGAGAGGGAGCCUGAGAAACGGCUACCACAUCCAAGGAAGGCAGCAGGCGCGCAAAUUACCCACUCCCGGCACGGGGAGGUAGUGACGAAAAAUAACGAUACGGGACUCAUCCGAGGCCCCGUAAUCGGAAUGAGUACACUCUAAACCCUUUAACGAGGAUCAAUUGGAGGGCAAGUCUGGUGCCAGCAGCCGCGGUAAUUCCAGCUCCAAUAGCGUAUAUUAAAGUUGUUGCGGUUAAAAAGCUCGUAGUCGAAUUUGUGUCUCGCGCCGCCGGUUCAUCGUCCGCGGUGUUAACUGGCGAGUCGCGAGACGUCCUGCCGGUGGGCUUAGCUCGCGAGGGCGGCCCAACUCAAUCCUGCCGCGGUGCUCUUCAUUGAGUGUCGAGGUGGGCCGGCACGUUUACUUUGAACAAAUUAGAGUGCUUAAAGCAGGCUAAAACUUCGCCUGAAUACUGUGUGCAUGGAAUAAUGGAAUAGGACCUCGGUUCUAUUUUGUUGGUUUUCGGAACCCCGAGGUAAUGAUUAAUAGGAACGGAUGGGGGCAUUCGUAUUGCGACGUUAGAGGUGAAAUUCUUGGAUCGUCGC
rnacentral:rRNA from 1 species